GCUGUCUUGCGUUACUUGCAUUUGGGUUUUUAAAAAAAACAUUGCUUCUGAAACCGGCAAAGGGCUUUCGGUAGUCAGUUGGAUGGCAACUUGGUUGGAGAUUUAGCCUUGGAUCUUCCAGGGAAGUUAAUCAGAGUUAAAGCAAGAAAGCCUGUUGGGGUUAAGGUGAGUAAACCAGAUUUCUUUCUUGUCUGCCAAAGGUGAAUAUGAUCUAAAAUGUAUUUAGCUGGGGAUGGGUAUUGUGGGGUUAAAGACUUGGGUUCUUCUUUUUUGAAAAUUUUUGAAAUUCAUCUCCCUCCUCCCCAUUUCUGAAUUUUCACUUGCACUACCUUCUAGGCAGCAACUAUUGGUUCCCUAGAUGAACAGGCAGAGGUGCUUGCAUAGGCAGCUGUCUCCUGUGCAUACUGUCUGUUGUUGCACGCAAAGAUCUGUGGAUUUUGAUAGUAAAUCCUGCAUCAGGAUUAGGAAAGCAGGAUGUCUGAUUCUGCUCUGAAGAGUGAUGUAGAGGGAAACAGGGAGAAUGCAAAGCAAAACAAAACAGCUGUUCUUUCUGAGCUCUCGUUCCCCUUUAUGACAUGGUCACAGGGCAACUUGCAAACUAAAAACACCAUAAAUGCAUAAAAACACCAAACUAAACAUUGGGGUGAUGGGGGCAGUGAUGGUGCAGUAAGAAGCCCUUCUGGUGGGUCUGUGAGGGUUUCCUUCCAGGGUCUAGCGAAGUUUUUGGGUGGCAGAGAAGAAAGAUAUCUGCUUCCAGAAUGAAUUCUCCCUGGAAGUAUGUUCUCCUCUCCAGAUGCACCACAUGGUUUAAGUACCACUGGAUUAAGUCAAAAGCUUAAUAAAAAGGUGGAGCUUUGAGAAGGGAUGCAAAGGAGAGGGGGCUUUAACCAGUGCUAUUUUUCUAGAAAAAGAGGUGCCAGAACUCACCAUGAAAGCUUCUCUUGUUCUCUUGUAAUGGCAAAGGGCCCACCUGAGAAGUGCCGGAACUGAGUUCUGGGAAGUUCUGGCUAAUGAAAAGCCCUUGUGUUAACCUUUGUCAGUGCCUAUCUCUUUCCCCUGUUUGGGUCUCACAGCCAAACAUCAGGAAUUUUUAAACAAAGGAUUGAGGAUUGAAGUGAACAUUUUGUGAUAUUAUGGCAGUGGACAAAGCUGUAUUGUAAUUUUUGAAUAAACGUUUUAAUAAAAAACAAAGGAAAGGGGUGCAUCAGGAUGUUCGUGAAAACAAUGAAGAACUUGGUGGAACCUGAAACACUAGCUGAAUUUUUGUGGUAGAAACUUUUGUAAAUAUCCUAAAGCGCCAUAAUAUUCUUUAUUCAUUCUUUGCUCUGGCAAAUUAAUUUAGCUAACCCUCUGAAAACAGCGCAUUAGAUCACUACUUCAGAAGACUUAGAUUAGUUUCCUUUCUCUGCCACUGACUUCCUGCAUGUGGACUUGGGCAAAUCACUUACUGGUUUGUUAAGUGGCAAAACAAGGGAAGACAGGAUUUAAAGCAGAUUUUGGACCAGUGACUACCCAUAGCUCUUGGCUUGAAAGGGUGGUGGGUCAUAGUGCUUGCUGCACCGACAACUGUUGACUUUAGAGUCAGGUACCGUAUAUUUAUUUUUUCAGCUAGGUUUUUUUGGGGUGGGGUGGAAAUCAACACAAAAUGGAUAGUCUGGUCAUCUCAGAUAACUGACCUGUUUCCUUGCUUCAAAGGAAAGAACUGCGUUGUCUAAAUAGAUUUUUGAUCUUCCAUUUGGGAAGAUGCCCAGAAUUAUUGAUGGAAGGUCCCUUGUUACUGCCAUAGAACUACGAUUUCCCUGGGAGUAGGAAGAGCUAUAUAGGUGCUGCAGAAGACCAAUCACGUGUGGUCUGAAAAAUAGGAAGGGGUGGGCUGAGCACCCCUUCCCUAAAUGAAGCUGCUGGUUAUAAAGCUGAUAGUUUAAAAAUUAAGCAAGCUUUUGAGUUAAGCAGGACUCAUGAGAUUUGUGUUUCCUGGAAGAAGAGUUCAGUUGAGCUCCAAAGCUUGCACCCUAUUAGUUGGUCCCAGUAAACGAAGCAGCGGGGUUUCCAGCCUGACGUCAUUGUUCUCGUAAGGGCAGCCUUUGCAUAGAGAGCAGAGUGACGGCAGCGAAGGGCGACUGGCAGAAGUUCAUAACUGCUACAUUGCUUUGAUCGGAAAAAAAUUCUGGUCCGGCCUUUGCGAUACAAGGGAUAGUAAAAAUAUCUCUCGCAGCUAGAAGUGUAUCUCUUGCUUAUGACACAUGAUGGUUAUUUUCGGCUCACGGGGGCUAUUUUUAUGCCUGAUGCUUCUCCGUUUGAGUUUCUAUGGAAACAGUGUUAUUGGUAUGGGCGCAGAACAGUGACCCUGGCAGAUGUUGACUAAAGUGGAGGUCCCCCCCUUUCUUCGUCUCCCCCCGGGCAUAUAUUUGGGCUUGCGAGUUGCACAAAGCAACAGCUUCUUGUUGGAUGCCUGUGGGGCAGGGGGGGGGGAGAUGGGGACGUGGAACUGAGUCAUUGCUGCAUGUGCGGAGAUGUUAAUUUUUUAUAGCAACUGCUGCCAUAGCAACAAGGUGCUUCAAUUAUCAAAAUUAAAACCAUGAAAAGUUACCUGCGUCUCCAUGAGACCUAUUGUUGCACGUAUUAAUUAUGUGAGAGAUAAUAAUAGCAAAACACAAUGAUAUUGUUGCUCUCUUCGCACACCCUGAAUUACAACGCUUAAGACCUGGGGCAUUUCAAGAGUACAGGGCCUGGGAUCAAGACUAAAGUCCUUUAUCUGAAGCCGUGCUUCAAGAGUGUGCUGGGAGGAGGGAGGAGCAGAUCUGCUCAUGUUGGUUUCUCGCAGUUUCUAAUUUUUUCCAUUUCCACUGCAGUUUCAGAAUAUAUCCCAUUAAAUCUAUCAGCAUUUUAGUGUACAUUUCUCCCAAUUCAUAUGCUUUGUGCAUAACACAACACGUUUUUAUAAAUUGCUUUGCCCCUAAUUCAGUGGUGUAUUUUUGUAUGUUGUGUGUCCCCCUCUAAUAUGUGAGUUUUUAUGCACACUUUACCCUCUUAAAUGCAUUUUUGUUCAUGGAACUUGGCUGGAGAUCAGCACUGGAAGGUUUGGAAAAGCCCGAAUUCCAAAGGAGGCCUGCAUUUCUAUUCAUGUGUUGUUUCAGAAAGUGCAAAUUCGGUAGGUUCGUUUUUAAACAGGAAAGAAUUGAAUUCAUCUUCCAUCCCAGCAGGGAGUCUCACUUGCCUAAUGCAGGUUAACUGGGUGGGGUUGAAGCCAGUUUGCUGUAAAGCUAUUAAGAGCUUUUGGAGGAGAAGAGUGUCUGGAUCUUGUUAUUCCAAGAGCUCUUUGUGGUUUGGCUUUUCCUGUACCGCUCCUACGGCUUCUCGACCCUGUACUUCCUUCUGCAUCCCAGAACAGCAACCAGGCCCUGGGGAGAAAACAGGGGCCCAGCAGUGCAGCUCGUAAUCAUUUGCGUGAGCCUUGCACAAGAGAAUUCCUGACACGUUGCCCUCAAAUGUCUUCUCCUGACUAAAUGGAACCUCAUUGUACCGGAACAGGGUACCCCUAAAUGCCAGUAGCUGGAGGACAAUGAGGUGCGCCAUGCUUGCACACUGCUAGCACAACACAGUUGUUCAAUCUGCCGCGUGACUGACUGCGCUUGGGAGUACUGUGUACAGUCCUGGUCCCCUCGCCUCAAAAAAGAUACCGCAGAGCUGGAAAAGGUCCAGAAAAGGGCCACCAAAAUGAUAAAGAGGUUGGAGCAACUCCCUUUUGAGGAAAAGCUGAAUCAUUUGAGGCUUUUUAGUUUAGAGAAAAGCCAAGAGGAUACACUAUAGAUGCGUAUAAAGUUGUGUGUGGUGUGUUGAAAGCUGUCAGAGAAACGUGUUUCUCCCUUUCAUAAUGCCAGAAGUCGAGGGCGUCCAGGGAAGCUGGAGGUUGGGAGAAUUCAGGGCAGGUAAAAGGAAGCGAGAGAUAAAUGCAGUUAUCCAGCAAAGUAAGAUAAGUAAUAGACAGUGGCGUAGCAAGGUCAGGUGGUACCCGGUGCGGAAUUUUUUUUGUCACCUCCCCACUCAGUUGAAAUUGAAAUUUGUCAAAGAGAGCUGUGCAGGCCGUGGCAAUGCAGAUCCCGCCUUCUCCCUCUCCCUCCCUCCACUCCCCUCUGCCAAAGAGAGCCAGAAGAUCUGGAGGGUGGCAAAGUGAGAAUGGACCUUUUCAGUGGUGACUCCCUGUUUGUGGAAUGUUCUGGCACCAUCCUGAUAUAAAAAUCAUAUUUUUAAAAAAAUAAUAUUUAUUGAGAUUUCAGAAACAAAAAAUUACAUAAAAGACAAUGAAAAAUAUAGAAAAAAAGAGAAAAAACAUACAAAAUACAAAGUAUAGAAAAAAAUAUAUAGAAAAAACACUUAGAAACAAAUUUAUCCUUCCGUAUCUUACAUUUCAUUUCCUUGCUUUCCUGACCUCCUCUCACCUCCCUUUUUUGUAUUCCGGUUCAAUUGGUUAAUUCAGCAAUUCCUUUCCCUCUUAUUUUUGUCUUAGUCCUUUAACUUAAUAUAUUAUAGCUUUAAAUUCUCACCUAUUAACCAGCCAUUUUUUCAUACACCUUUAUGACAUUGCUGCUAGAACCACUUAAUUUCAUUCUGACAUCAUUCUAACAUUCAUUUAUUUUACAAUAUUUCUGUAAACAGUCUUUAAAUUUCUUCCAAUCUUCUUCCACCGACUCUUCACCCUUGUCUCGAAUUCUGCCAGUCAUUUCCGCCAAUUCCAUGUAGUCCAUCACCUUCAUCUGCCAUUCUUCCAGAGUGGGUAGAUCUUGUGUCUUCUGAUAUAAAAAUCAUUUUUAACUAGGGCUUUGCCUCUUAAUUAUCUUUGGCCUUGAGUGGGUGGAAUGUUUUAAUCCUGCCUUUUAAAAAUAGGAUUUUCCUUUAGGGUCUUUAUUUUUUCUUUUAUGCUGGUUUCAAUGUAUGUGUUUGUAUGUACAUAUAUUGAAAGUUGCUUUGAAUUACCUUGGUAAAAAAAGACCAAUAAAUUUUAAUAAUAAUAGUAGUAGUUAGUAGUAGUAGUAGUAGUAAAAAAUCACUAUGUCUUUUUGAGCAGAAUGAUACAGAGCGCACUUAAAUACUGUGCUAAGCUAACUGUCUCAGAACCAUGUACUCCCUCAAACUGGAUUGUAUGAAAAUAAACUGAACAUAACCUCAUAUAGGCCCUGUUCUAAGAGCUUCAUUGACUGCCAGUUCAUUUCUAGGUCAAAUUUAUAGUACUCACGUUAGUGUAUUAAGCCCUAAAUAACUUAGGCCCCACAUAGCUGAAAUACCUCUUCUUUCCCUGCAGAACUCACAGGUGUUAAAGAUCAGCAGAAGGGAAGCUCUUGGGAGUUUCACAGCCCUUGGAAUUUUUUUUAUUUGGGGGGGGGGGGGAGAAGAUUGUAUUCUCUGUAAAAUCCCCUAAAUUGUGGAAUUCCCUCCUCACAGAUAUGUGUCUGAACUGUUGAAGAACCUUUUCCCUUCCCUGCAUCUUCCACGGCUGGAUUUACUUGGUUUGGCAGCUUACAGAGAACAUCUUACGGAAGACGCUUUGCUGUAUAAAUGUGGGCUGCUGUUACGAAAGCUGCUUUCUCCUGCUCAAGGCAGGGCUGAACUUUCUGAGAAGCCUGGGCACAAGAACUGCUAUGGGUGCACCCAGACAUACCAUUUCUCUUCCCUCUAGGAAGUGAGCGUGUUGAAACCUUGCAGGCCCAGAGCUGAGACCUGCAAUUUGUAAGCAGAAAAGGUCCAUCUGGCUUACCUAUAACUGGGCCAAACUAUUUCAGGCUGCAGCACAAAGUUCCCGUGUUUGCGUCAAUGCAAAUAUUUCCUACACAGACAAAUGUGGAGGGGGAAGCCUAGCUUAAUAGUCUCUCCUUUACAUGCUGUUUUUGCAAGACUGCAACAUUUUGAUCUGCUUGAUUGAUUAAACGCUUCUUCUUCUUUUACUUAAAACGCCUCCCC